UACGAAGGGGGCUAGCGUUGUUCGGAAUUACUGGGCGUAAAGGGCGCGUAGGCGGUUUGACCAGUCAGGUGUGAAAUUCCCGGGCUUAACCUGGGGGCUGCACUUGAUACUGUCAGGCUUGAAUUCGGGAGAGGAUAGUGGAAUUCCCAGUGUAGAGGUGAAAGUCGUAGAUAUUGGGAAGAACACCAGUGGCGAAGGCGACUAUCUGGACCGACAUUGACGCUGAGGCGCGAAAGCGUGGGGAGCAAACAGG
rnacentral:rRNA from 1 species